rnacentral:rRNA from 1 species
UACGGAGGGUGCGAGCGUUGUCCGGAAUCACUGGGCGUAAAGGGCGCGUAGGCGGCGAGGAUAGUCAACGGUGAAAGCUUGGGGCUCAACCCCGAGUCGGCCGUCGAUACUUCCUUGCUCGAGCACUGUAGAGGCAGAUGGAAUUCCGGGUGUAGCGGUGGAAUGCGUAGAGAUCCGGAAGAACACCGGUGGCGAAGGCGGUCUGCUGGGCAGUAGCUGACGCUGAUGGCGCGACA